UAAAACCCCUCUCAGUUCGGACUGGAGUCUGCAACCCGACUCCACGAAGCUGGAUUCGCUAGUAAUCGCGCAUCAGCCACGGCGCGGUGAAUACGUUCCCGGGCCUUGUACACACCGCCCGUCAAGCCAUGGGAGCCGGGGGUACCUGAAGUGCGUAACCGCGAGGAUCGCCCUAGGGUAAAACUGGUGACUGGGGCUAAGUCGUAACAAGGUAUC
rnacentral:rRNA from 1 species